rnacentral:hammerhead_ribozyme from 1 species
GUCCAGCUGACGAGUCCGAAAUAGGACGAAACGUACAUCCCGUCUUUCAU